GGAGGGGAGUGAAUUGAACACACGAGAGGCUGCGACGCCGGUGGCGGGAACGGGGUUAAUUAACCCUGCCGAGACCCUCUCCUCAGAACCCAGACAGAGUGGAGUGCUUGUGAUUCCAGUCCUAUCAAGACCAGUGAAGGUCAGUAUUACACAUUUGUGUUAACAGUGCUGCUGGUCUUUUUGUGUUAUACAAAAAGGUGAACAUAAAUGGCCACUGGAGAAGCUUAUAUGCUAGGCAGUGAUCCAUAAGACCAUCAGUCACGAGAAGAUAAGACUUCACUAAAUGUGAUGGGACCAAGCAGCACUAAGUGGUACAAAGGACCAUUGACUGAGAAGCU
rnacentral:lncRNA from 1 species